UCUGUGCUGAGGCAGCUAACGCUAGCUUGCUAGUCAGCUUAAAAAACAUGCCUUCCUUUGAGCGAUAAGGUUUGUAAAAACAAACAGAAAACCUUGAGAUUGAUCCUCAAGAAAGCCUGUUUCAAAAGCCAGUUUAUGUCAAUAUAGCACUUGGUUGGCCUUGUGAUCAUUUCUUCUUUUGCCUUGAAAAAAACAGCUUUCUGCCAGGCCCCACAGUGCACAAGAGCAGCUGCAGGAGGUCAAAGUUACAGAGAGUGAACUGUGUGCCUUUGGGAGCCCCACCCCCUGCCCUGCCGCCCAAUCAGAGACCUUCUGUCAGGAGAAGAGCCAGUCAUCCACACUUCCGCAUUUCAACAGGAUGUCACCUCUGACUGAGCGACUGGGAAUGAGUGGAACUUCCCAGACCGGCAUCGACUUCAUCUCGUUAAAACUCGCAAAGAGAAAUACACAAGAAUUCCCUGCCAAAAGGAACAGGUGUCUGUUUGUGCAUGCAAUAAUUUUAUUGUCUGAACUGUUUGAAAAACACGGGUUUACCACGCAACAUAUGUUUAUACAAAAUAUACAAAAAGAACUGGAGAUGCCUCCUAGUCUUCCCUCUGAAUGAAUAUUAAUUUCUUAUUCAAAUCAUUUUGCUCAAAGUUUCAUUAGCAGUGCUGCAACCAGCCCCUAAGCCAAAAAAUGUGAAUAAUCAAUUAAUAUUCAUGAAAAGGGAAGCUUAUUGUCAGUCCUGGUUAGUUUGCACAUGUGAAUGUCACAAAGAAUAAAUGUCCUUGUUUCUUUUUUUGUUGUUGUUUAAAAAAAAAUUAGACAAUGUUGUGCUGGAGUUUUUCCACCCGCCAUACAGCUGGUGGCUGACGUCACAGCUUCGGGGAGAUGCUUGUCUGCGCUCGCAAAUCGACACAGAGGUUUGCAAUGAGCACUGCAGCCUGAGCAAGACUGAGCAUUCUGAACUGGGAAGCAGAGAGCGGGGGGGGGGUCUGACCUGGGAAGCAGAGAGCAGGGGGGGAGGGGGAGGGGGAGGGGGAGGGGGGGAGAGGCACUCACUCAUUACCUUCUGAGCGUGUCAAAGUGUCCUUGAGCAAGACACCUAACCCCCCAAUGCUCCUGCUCUCUUUCACCGUUUGUGUGUGUGCGCGCGUGUGUGUGUGUGCGCGUGUGUGUGUGCGCGUGUGCGCGUGUGCGCGCGUGUGUACGUGUGUGUGUGUGUGUGCCUGCGUGUGUGCGCGUGUGUGUGUGUGUGUGUGUGUGUGUGCGUGUGUGUGCGUGUGAAUGGGUGAAUAAGAGGCAUUUGUAAUAAAGUGCUUUGUGCAGUCCUCUUUUUGUCCAUUGACCCUUACCAUAUAUCCUCAUAUAUGUGACAUGUGAGGAGAUGCUAGCCUGGUGGAGAGACAACAGGCUUUGCUUUGUGUCAGCUUAGUUCAUUCAUGUGCCAAUAGUUCAGCAUGGAAAAAUCAUUGUUCAUUCCAAGAAAAGGCCCCUCGUUGCUGACAGUAAUGAUCCAAGGUCAGUUAAGUAACUCUGUUGCAUGAAUGAAAAUCGUGGACAUUUUAUUUGGAAUGCAUAUCGAUGUUUCAUCACGGGAUUCCUGCAUGUCUGCACUUCUGGUUUUAUGAAUGAAAGUGUACGCCAGACGGGGGUGACAUCACGCCUGUCUAAUGACACUGAGAAGGCUGGCGGUGGUGCGUUUAUCUGCUUAUUGACCUUGUGAGGCAUCCUGGGGAUUCAUUCUGUGUAGGGCUGAUAUAUAUCUCAGCUGGAUCAGCUGGAUCAGCUGGAUCAGCGCGCCUCGUUCUCCGCGUUCUCGACCCAAACAAUAUGGAUCUACUCAGGCAGGUAGCAGGGAAUUCUGGGCCCUGUGCUUAUGUAGUCUCUGUGGGCCACCUUGAAGCUGUAGACCAAAGCAAACUUUUUUUGGCAAGGCCUUUUGAGCCUGCCACCCCCCCCCCCACCCCACCCCUUGGGUAGUCAGUUCCACAACUUCCCCCGACAUCCUUUCCCUUUCCUCCCUGCACCCCUGCACC